rnacentral:rRNA from 1 species
AUGAACGCUGGCGGCGUGCCUAAUACAUGCAAGUCGAGCGAACAGACGAGGAGCUUGCUCCUCUGACGUUAGCGGCGGACGGGUGAGUAACACGUGGAUAACCUACCUAUAAGACUGGGAUAACUUCGGGAAACCGGAGCUAAUACCGGAUAAUAUAUUGAACCGCAUGGUUCAAUAGUUAAAGACGGUUUUGCUGUCACUUAUAGCUGGAUCCGCGCCGCAUUAGCUAGUUGGUAAGGUAACGGCUUACCAAGGCAACGAUGCGUAGCCGACCUGAGAGGGUGAUCGGCCACACUGGAACUGAGACACGGUCCAGACUCCUACGGGAGGCAGCAGUAGGGAAUCUUCCGCAAUGGGCGAAAGCCUGACGGAGCAACGCCGCGUGAGUGAUGAAGGUCUUCGGAUCGUAAAACUCUGUUAUUAGGGAAGAACAAAUGUGUAAGUAACUAUGCACGUCUUGACGGUACCUAAUCAGAAAGCCACGGCUAACUACGUG